AGAGUUUGAUCCUGGCUCAGGACGAACGCUGGCGGCGUGCUUAACACAUGCAAGUCGAACGGAAUCCAUGGAAGCUUGCUUCCGGAAGAUUUAGUGUCGAACGGGUGAGUAACACGUGAGCAACCUGCCCCGAAGCGGGGGAUAACUCAGGGAAACUUGGGCUAAUACCGCAUACCUUCAUUAGAUCGCAUGGUUUGAUGAAGAAAGAUUUAUCACUUCGGGAGGGGCUCGCGGCCUAUCAGCUUGUUGGUGAGGUAACGGCCCACCAAGGCUACGACGGGUAGCUGGUCUGAGAGGACGAUCAGCCACACUGGAACUGAGACACGGUCCAGACUCCUACGGGAGGCAGCAGUGGGGAAUCUUGCGCAAUGGGCGAAAGCCUGACGCAGCAACGCCGCGUGCGGGAUGAAGGCCCUCGGGUCGUAAACCGCUUUCGACAGGGAAGAAAAUGACGGUACCUGUAGAAGAAGCCCCGGCCAACUACGUGCCAGCAGCCGCGGUAAUACGUAGGGGGCGAGCGUUGUCCGGAUUUAUUGGGCGUAAAGAGCUCGUAGGCGGUUAACUAAGUCGGAUGUGAAAACUCAGGGCCCAACUCUGAGCCUGCAUUUGAUACUGGUUUGACUAGAGUCAAGUAGGGGGGUGUGGAAUUCCCAGUGUAGCGGUGAAAUGCGCAGAUAUUGGGAGGAACACCAGCAGCGAAGGCGGCACUCUGGGCUUGUACUGACGCUGAGGAGCGAAAGCAUGGGUAGCAAACAGGAUUAGAUACCCUGGUAGUCCAUGCCGUAAACGUUGGGCACUAGGUGUGGGGACCACUCAACGGUCUCUGUGCCGAAGCUAACGCAUUAAGUGCCCCGCCUGGGGAGUACGGCCGCAAGGCUAAAACUCAAAGGAAUUGACGGGGGCCCGCACAAGCGGCGGAGCAUGUUGCUUAAUUCGAGGCAACGCGAAGAACCUUACCUGGGCUUGACAUGUAGCGAAAAGCCGCAGAGAUGCGGUGUCCUUCGGGGCGCUACACAGGUGGUGCAUGGUUGUCGUCAGCUCGUGUCGUGAGAUGUUGGGUUAAGUCCCGCAACGAGCGCAACCCUCGUCCUAUGUUGCCAGCACGUAAUGGUGGGGACUCGUAGGAGACUGCCGGGGUCAACUCGGAGGAAGGUGGGGAUGAGGUCAAAUCAUCAUGCCCCUUAUGUCCAGGGCUGCAAACAUGCUACAAUGGCCGGUACAAAGGGCUGCAAAACCGCGAGGUUAAGCGAAUCCCAUAAAGCCGGUCUCAGUUCGGAUUGAAGUCUGCAACUCGACUUCAUGAAGCUGGAGUCGCUAGUAAUCCCGGAUCAGCAACGCCGGGGUGAAUACGUUCCCCGCCUUGUACACACCGCCCGUCACACGCCGAAAGUCGGCAACACCCGAAGUCAGUGGUCUAACCCGCAAGGGAGGAAGCUGCCGAAGGUGGGGUCGGUGAUUGGGGUGAAGUCGUAACAAGGUAGCCGUACCGGAAGGUGCGGCUG
rnacentral:rRNA from 1 species